UACGUAGGGCGCAAGCGUUGUCCGGAAUUAUUGGGCGUAAAGAGCUCGUAGGCGGUUUGUCGCGUCUGCUGUGAAAACCUAAGGCUCAACCUUGGGCUUGCAGUGGGUACGGGCAGACUAGAGUGCGGUAGGGGUGACUGGAAUUCCUGGUGUAGCGGUGGAAUGCGCAGAUAUCAGGAGGAACACCGAUGGAAGGCAGGUCACUGGGCCGCAACUGACGCUGAGGAGCGAAAGCAUGGGGAGCGAACAGG
rnacentral:rRNA from 1 species